GGAGGGGAGUUAGAGGGAAACUGGGAUUGACAUGUAAAACAAUCUUGUUUCUAAUUUAAAUAAAAAUAGAGAACAAAGUAUCUCCAACAAAAGGGAAAAAAUGAAAUGGGGUACACUCUCUGUAAUGUAGAAACAGUUGAAAUUUGACAGCAACCUGUAUAUUUUUGGGAUUUAUUAUAUUUAGGGUCAUAGUCUGAUACUUUGAUUUUAUCUUUUUAAGAUCCUGAACAGAGAGCUCAGUAAGUUAUUGCCUGACUGCCUGAAUUUUAGAAAUCCAAUGUAAUAUGUGAGUAUUGUUUAAUGUGUAUAAAUUUGUUGUGAUUUGUUUCACACCAAUAGUUCAAUAUCUUGGGGCUCCUGGCUAAGGGCCCACUAAUAACAUUUUGUAUCUCUCACUGUCUGCCAAAUAACAUUUAGUCCCAUUAUGUGUGAUGGUGGGGCCAUUAGGUGAGUUCCAAUUAGGAGCCACAGGACUUGAAAUAUACCCAUUGUUUUCUCUUCAUGCAUUUAGUAAGCAGUAUUUUCUUGAUUAAUUGAGGAAUAAGUUGUAUCUAGUUAGUCUGUGCACUGUGGCAGUACAUUUUGGUUGAGCAAGGAAGGGAAAAGCUUAGACCUCAUUUUAUUUUGUAAAAAUGAAACUCACAUUCAGAGGAAAUUAGUUUGUGCCUGAAUUAAAAGUGGAAUCAAUAGUCAUUGUGGGACCUCCCCUUUUAGUAAACAAGAUAUUUCAUUAAAUUAGGGUGCUGGAUGAUUGAGAUGACCUUGCAUAUCAUCAAUUAUGAAUAACCUUUUGAGGAAAACAAAGUGGGCCUUUUCUUGAAAAAGCUGUGCUUUCCUAAUUUAGUAAAAGAUCUGAUUUUGUCUUGCUGGAUCCAGGCGCCAAACUAAUGUAAUCACUAUCCACUGUGUACAUGCUGGCUCACAGAGAAUUUCUCCAUGCCUGCAAUCUUCAAGAACCUCCCAAUAACAUAGUAAGAACUAAGGAGAAUAAGAGAGAAUAAAUAAAACCUUUUGGGGACUAUUCAAAGAUGUGCAUUAUGUAGGUGUUUCUCAGCAAAGAUUUCUAAUCAUUACAAAUACUUGUAUCCAUUACACAUGGUGUCACUGUAGUACAAAUUAUAUUGAGUGUUAUACUUCAUUUAAUCAUGUAAUAAACUCAUGACUGGGAUAAUUACAGCAUCGUCAUUUGUUUCCUUUGAAAAUAUAUAACUUGGAAAAUUAACCUAGACAUAUGACUAACCAUUGACAGAGUCAUAUUUAAUGUGGAAAUCAAAUGAUCUUACUAAGGUAUUAAAGCUUAUUACUCCCUGAAUGUUUCAUACCAUACUAAUGCUUGAACCUAGACUAGGUAAGAGCUAUAGAAGCACUGGUUUUCUAUUUUCCCUAAAAAUCAGAAGAUAUGGUAGAAUAUUAAAAUUUUUAAUUGUUGUAAAGUGUAGCACAUGUGUGUUCUAUUGGGUCAAAUUCUUUUGAGUUAACAGAGAAGAAUCUGUUCAUAUUCCAAGUUUGAGAUCUCUAAAGGACUACAGAGUAAUAACAAGAGAAGGGUUCCUGCCCUGACUUUCUCCAAUUUCAGACUGUGGAAUGGAAAUAAAAGACACAAACUAUUUCUUCCUCUAA